UGGAACUUUUUUCUUCCUGGAAUUUUAGAGUUAAAUAAAGGGGAAAUUAUUUUUUAAAAAAUUAAGUUUAAACUUUCUUAAUGCUUCUACAUUUAAAACUUGUCAGUGAUGGCUGUGUCACAAAGAUGACUUUGAAAACAUUUAAUUUCUUCUUUUUCAUUCUUUGACUUUUUGAAGUCCUUGAAUUUAUAUCAGUUAUUUCAUGUAAUUAAAAAAUAUUGAAAUGUGAUUUCCAAAGCCACUAAUAUUUACUAAGUUGAUAAUUGCUUUUCAACAUAUGUAUUUAAAUGAGGACAUAAGAAAAACAUUCAUCCCGAUUGUAGUUCUCUAAGAUUUUAGUUUUCAUGGUUUACCCCAUUUUAUUAUCAAAGAGUCAUUGUGAUGUAGUGGAUUUACGAUAAGUUUAACAAAAGCUGAGUUUGGUGAAAGAGAAUUCAUUAUUUUUGAGUUCUUUUUAUCAAGAAGAUCACAGUUCUGUUACAGAGUAACAAAAAGCAAGAAGGAAAUCAACAGGUUAAAUCUUGUAAAAUAUUGUUUAAGGAAUUAUAGAAAAAUUUAAAAUUUAUGCUUAUUAUGUGACAUUAUUGAUUUUUUUCUCCCUAGCUGACUUUAUUAGAUUAAUUUACAUAAGUGAGUAACUCCUAGUAUAUUUGUUCAUGGGCCUAGCUUUUUUCUAGUACUGUAGAGCACAAAAGAAACAUGAAUCAUGGCGGUUUAGAGGUAAACUUGAGUUUUCUUGCUGAGAAAGUUAGGAAAUCAUAUCGAUCUAAAGAAUAUGCUUUCAUUUAUUUAAAAUGAAACUUUACGUGGUAUAUUAAUUACCUAUAGAGAACUUGAAAACUGGUUUCUGCUUUAUAAUAUUCAAAAAUUAUAAUUAGCACCAGUUACUUGUCAUUUUCUUGUCUUUUAGAUACAUCUACUGAGAUUUAAGCAAUAUUUUAUUGCAGAUAUGUUUUCUUUAUUACUCUUUAUCUUGUAUGUUGAAUUGGGUCAAGAUGCAUGAGGACAGAUUAUAAACUAAUUAUUAAGGAUAUUCUAACGUGUGUUUAUCUUUCUGUCUGUAAAAUACACUCAAAAAAGUUCAAACUAUGUAAGGACAAAAGAAGUAAAAAGUGAAAAAUCCCUCUCUCCCAGCAAACAUACUUCAAAUGAUAUCUAGUGAUAUCCAUGGGCAAGGACACUAGCAUUCAAUGGUGUAAUGUUUAAUGUAAUACUUUUAAUAAGGUUUGGUGAAUAAAGCAGGCAAAGAACUUAAAAGUCUCAUCUGGCCUGUUCUUUUGCCUCACCCAGAGGGGAUAGAAAAGUGGUUUAACAAGCCUGGAACUUGAUUUAAUGUGGUUUUUUGGGGGGAGGUCUGCUCUGUUCUGAUUCAAAUCAAGUAAAUUGGGACAGCUCUAUAGAUCCCAAACCCAUGUAUCUAGUUAUCCUCAAAAGCAAAUACUAUUUUUAUUUUUUAUUUUUUGCAAAUACAUUUUUUUAAAAAAAAAUUUAAUUGGUUUUCCAUGCAUAGAGUUAAAUAGUUCUAUAAGAACAUUUUAAAGUCAAAUAGCUCUUUGAGGUUUGUUACAAAAAACUUGUUAUACUAACACAUCAUAUUCUAUUCCCAGAGAUAAGCACUUUCCUACUAUUUUAACUAGUUCUUACAGUAUUUAACUUCUUACCAUUAAAUCCACACUUACGUCACUAUUUCCUGACUUUUCCCAUUGUGUGUAUUGUCUGCUGACUUCUUGCUCUGGAAAAUGAGAAUAUAGCUGUCUUUAGACAACUCCCUGUACUUCUGUUCCUCCAUUCUCGCAGUAUAUUUUGAUAGGGUUACUAUUCAGUGUUUUUGUUAUGAUUAUGUAUUUGCAAUUUGCUUUUAAACUGUAAUCUCUUACAUCUCCUUUUUGAAACCUCAUUUUGCUUUCCCUAAAAUUCAUAAUUAUCUUUAGAUUUAUAAAAUAAUUAAAUUUUUGUGUGUUUAUCACUGUUGUAAUUCUAAAUUUUAUCCCUGUUGAUUAAAUCUCUCACUUGCAUCAAACAAGUUUAGUGUUCUGUUAAUUUCAUAUUUAGUUUCUGGUUUGUUCUUUUUGUGUGUUUUUUAUUUGUUUAUUUGGAGUGGGGUGUUUGUUUUGUUUUUGUAGUCUGUAGGAUUAUUAAGUUUUUGUUUUUUCAGAGUGGCAGCCUUCUGCAAAGAAGAUUCUUCAGUCUCCUGCACAGAAGACAUCUGCCUCACUGCUAUAAGUGUUUAGAGAAAAAAGGGUUUAGACAUGAGCAACCUUUCUCAUGGCUUCACUGAAAUUUUUUCAUGUGUACCAACUUGGUGUUUAAUUCCAAUUUGACUGGCCUAGUGAAUUUAACAGCAGAAGAAAUAGCUAUCAGAUGAAAGAAGAGACUGAAGAUUUGGUUAAUCUGGGGGAAAAUCUAGUUCAAGAGCAUUUUUCAUAUAUACUUUCUGUCAGCACUGGCAUAUAUGCUGUAACUCACAUUAUAUGUAUUUCUUGGGAAUCUACAUUUUUCGCUUCUCUGCAGAAAUAAAAUGACUUUAUUUGAUUUUA